rnacentral:lncRNA from 1 species
UUGACACCCUCAUAACUCUCUCUCUCAUUCUCUUUAGCCGAUAACAACCCACCGGAGCGAACCAAGCUUGCCGAAGACAACCGGAGAUGAAGCUCGCAACAUCGGAGACGUCGCCGACAACCCCACAAACCUGUUUCGACACCUUUCACACACUCCCGGACUACCACUUUGUGUCGACCUAACCCACUGCCGCCGCCGGAGAUACCCACCGUCGCCGGAGAAGAAAGAAGCUGCCGAAGUUUCACGUUAGAACUCGACACGAGUCGCCACUGUUUCGGUAUAGAAUUCUUAUCUUUUGUCUUUCGUUCAAGUUACCAAUUGAUACCCAUCAUAUUCUAAUUUUCAUACUAACAGUUUACAUAUGGAGAAGAUGAGUAGUACUGUUUCUAAUUCAUAUUUAUGUUAUGGCAUUAAAAAGAACAGUACAUCAAGCAAGUUGACUGACAACAUGUUUUAGUCAAAGCAAUUUCAUGGCUUGUUUAUUGUUUUUUUUCAAUAUAUCUAUUUAUAAGAAAAUUUUGUGGUCUUUAUGUUAAAACUCAUUUUUUCCUUAUUAAUAAAAUCGUAAAUUAUCAACGAUUUCUUUUUUAUUUCUAAUACCUUUUCUUUUUAGCAGAACCUCUCAUUAAUGACAUGAAUAAGUUGUCAAUUAUUAUCCUUUUUAUAACAAUAAAUUUUAUUAAUGAGAUAAGAUAUAAUAUACGAAUUAUUAUUAAGCAAUAAAUAUUAGAAUCUUAUUUAACCUAUAAAUAAUAACGAGAUCGUUAUGUGAUAUUUUCAUAUCUAGGAUAAUCUUUCCCACUCGUUCGGUCCUUAAUUCUUUUCCUUGCACGUUAUUUCCAAGAAUUCGCAACGCAAUCUAAGGAGUACGCAUCGCCCUUGAGUGAGUCUUGGGGUGUGUGCGUUGGAAACUUGGGUUUGACAUAUAGUGGCACUGUUUCAGCAUAUUAGUAACUUGUAUUAUGUUGUUGAUUGUUCAAGAUUCAAGAAAACAAGUUAGGAUGGCUUUAGAAACCCAUUUUAGUAAUUAAUUAUUGUUGAAAUUAUGUUUGAUAUUUGAGACUUGUAAUACUCUUCUAGUUUCAAUAAAAUGAUUUAAAUUCAUAUUGUC